GUGCAGACCCUCUGCCUAGCACCUCCGUUGACAGCUUAGAGACAUGGCGCCCUGCCCAGCCCCCGCAACCAGGGGUGACCCCUCAGACUCUCCUGUAGCUUAAACACCCCCCUGGCAGAGCUCCACCAAAAGGUGGGAGCCCCAGGAGGGCCCCCCUUCAUCAGCCCCCCUGGGAGGUGCAUCACAGACACACAGACAUUGUGCACAGAAGAGCGCCGUGUAGGGCAAGAGUGUU